rnacentral:rRNA from 1 species
AUUGAACGCUGGCGGCAUGCCUAACACAUGCAAGUCGAGCGGAGCGGCGGACGGGUGAUUAAUGCCUAGGAAUCUGCCUGUUCGUGGUGGAUAACGUCCGGAAACUGGCGCUACUACCGCAUACUAUCAGAUGAGCCUAGGUCGGAUUAGCUAGUUGGGGGGGUAAAGGCCUACCAAGGCGAAGAUCCGUAACUGGUCGGAGAGUAUGAUCAGUCCACCUGGAACUGAGACACGGUCCAGACUCCUACGGGAGGCAGCAGUGGGGAAUAUUGGACAAUGGGCGAAAGCAGGAUCCAGCCAUGCCGCGUGUGUGAAGAAGGUCUUCGGAUUGUAAAGCACUUUAAGUUGGGAGGCGUGACCAACAGAAUAAGCACCGGCUAACUUCGUGCCAGCAGCCGCGGUAAUUC